rnacentral:sRNA from 1 species
CAUCAAUAAACUGAAAAGCUGCCUUUUGAACAUAGAAGACAACCCUUAUCUUUUCCUGAUAAUGAUAUAAAGAAAAAGUGAGCUCAUAGAAGAACUACAACAA